CACCCACACCUUCAGAAGCCCCUCAGUGCAUGGUCCUCACCAUGGACUGGACCUGGAGAAUUAUCUUCCUGGUGGCAAUGGCUGCAGGUGUGAACUCCCAGGUACAGCUGGUGCAGUCAGGGCCUGAGGUGGGAACACCUGGGACAUCAGUGAAAAUCUCCUGCAAGGCGUCCGGAUACACCUUCAUCAGCGGCAUGAUAAGAUGGGUGCGGCAGGCCCCAGGACAAGGGCUCAAGUGGAUGGGAUGGAUAAAUCCUAGCAAUGGUGGUACAGAUUAUGCACAAAAGUUCCAGAGCAGACUCACACUCACUGUUGACAAGUCUAAGGACACAGCCUACAUGGAACUGAGCAGGUUGAGCACUGAAGACAUGGCGGUGUAUUACUGUGCAAGACACACAGAGUGA